GUGGGGAAUAUUGGACAAUGGGCGAAAGCCUGAUCCAGCAAUGCCGCGUGAGUGAUGAAGGCCCUAGGGUUGUAAAGCUCUUUUACCCGGGAUGAUAAUGACAGUACCGGGAGAAUAAGCUCCGGCUAACUUCGUGCCAGCAGCCGCGGUAAUACGAGGGGAGCUAGCGUUGUUCGGAAUUACUGGGCGUAAAGCGCGCGUAGGCGGUUUUUUAAGUCAGAGGUGAAAGCCCGGGGCUCAACCCCGGAAUAGCCUUUGAAACUGGAAAACUAGAAUCUUGGAGAGGUCAGUGGAAUUCCGAGUGUAGAGGUGAAAUUCGUAGAUAUUCGGAAGAACACCAGUGGCGAAGGCGACUGACUGGACAAGUAUUGACGCUGAGGUGCGAAAGCGUGGGGAGCAAACAGGAUUAGAUACCCUAGUAGUCC
rnacentral:rRNA from 1 species